AGCAGCAUGGCGCAGCUGGAAGCGCGCGGGGCCCAUAACCCCGAGGUCACUCGAUCGAAACGAGUUGCUGCUA
rnacentral:tRNA from 1 species